GACGAACGCUGGCGGCGUGCCUAAUACAUGCAAGUAGGACGCAGUUGCGACCGUGUGAGUAACGCGUAGGUAACUACCUAUUAGCGGUGGCUAACUAUUGGAAACGAUAGCUCAUACCGCAUACUAGUAGAUGGACCUGCGUUGUAUUAGAUAGUAGGUAGGGUAAAGGCCUACCUAGGCAAAGAUACAUAGCCGACCGGAGAGGGUGAUCGGCCACACUGGGACUGAGACACGGCCCAGACUCCCACGGGAGGGAGCAGUAGGGAAUCUUCGGCAAUGGGGGGAACCCUGACCAAGCAACGCCGCGUGAGUGAAGAAGGUUUUCGGAGCGUAAAGCGCUGUUGUUAAGGAAGCGGUACUUAACCAGAAAGGGACGGCUAACUACGUGCCAGCAGCCGCGGUAAUAC
rnacentral:rRNA from 1 species